CCAGACACCCAUUUUCCUUCCCACUGUUCCUUCCCCAUGGAGAAGCCUGUGGCUGGCUGACAGCAGAGAGAGAUGCUCAACUUGGAGAAGGUGUUACCUGGGCCAGGUGGGGAAGGUUUGUUUGCAGAGCAAAGAAGUGAAGGAAGUAUUAACCCUUUGCAUGGCCUCCUGAGAAUCCGACAAGACGUAAAUAGCCAAGAAUAUCUGUGAAACUUCAUCACUGAGUUACAAUAUUUAUCACUGCAAGUGUGUUGUUCAUUGACACUAUAAAGCCAUGUGGAAUUAAGCAGCCUUGAAACACAAAAUGGAGAAAGGCUAAGAGCUGAGAAUUGUUGCCUUCAGGGAAAUACAAUCAAUGUCAAGCAAACAACCACCCCAAAAUGGAAUGUCAGCCAUUAACCUCACAGUAGGUGAUGAAAAGAUAUUACUUUUUCUCCCCUAUACUACCCAAGCCAGCCACCUCAAGAAAGAACAGUUCAUGUGCAGCCUAUUCAACGUGAAAAAGAUGAGGAUGAAGACCUUUAUUAUGAUCCACUUCCAAGUAAUGAACACACUGGAGAAAGUCAGACAGUCAAAACAAUGUCCCAGACUCCGUGAAGUUCCUGGGUAGAGAAGGAGACAGACAUAUACCAUACCUAAUAAUUGGAUGUCCGAGAGAAUGAGAGAAUGGCAGAAAGAACUUUAGAGCAUGGGUAUGAUGGCUAGAGCUUGAGCAGCCAUUGUGGACAUCAGAUGAACUUGAAAGUGAAAACUAUGAGCUGAAUACGACAAAGCAAACAGAUAGAAAACUGGAUUCAUUAUGACAUUGCAAAGCUGCCAGACCAGCUCUAGUCUGCUUCCCCCUAAUCUUCCUUACUA
rnacentral:lncRNA from 10 species